GAGAAGUUUUGUUUUGUGUAAAGCUAAACACACAUGUUAGUGGCUAACGAAUUUAUCUUACCGUAGUUGUUUAUUUUGUGUAACUUCGUAAAUAGCAAGAGAAUAAGCAAAUAAUGAUUUUGCAGAUUGUGUUGAUGCGAAGGUAUUCGAAGCAAGCUAGAGUUCACUUGGUCAGGAGACUGUUGCGAAGAGCUGCAGUCUUCAGUAAGAAGAAUGGAACUGAAGAAGCCAAGAAAAAAUUAAAGAGAAAGGCUGACCGUCUGAUUGAAGAAAUUUUGGUUCUGAAAACAGGGUCCAAGGGCCGGAUGCGGACCUGACCACUCCACCCUCGAGUCAUUCCUCCAGAAAGCAGGACGACUAAGGCGCCCUGGCGCCUCGUUAGCAGCUGAACUUCGGCCAGCAAUCGUCAAACCUCCAGUCCUUCAGUUUAUUUUAUAUAUCUUCAGAAUAACAUUAAAUCACGACGUUGAAAGUAUCGGAACUCCAGAAAUUUUUUUUUCGGAACUUUAAUCGCUCUAAGUCUGCUAUUGUUAAUAAUUAACCUGUUUAUU